AAAAAAAGACAGCUUUCUGAGUGGAAUAUAUAGGGUUUUCAAUGUAUAAAUCUAUUGGAAGAUUAUAAGGGUUUACAAAUUUACUGUAAAGGGAGAGGGUAUGCCCUUUAUUUGGGAGUACACCUCUCCAAAUAAACAGUAAAACAUCAGUUAACUGUAUAUUUGGAGAGGUGUACUCCCAAAUAAAGGGCAGGGAUGGGGAAGGACACUUCAGAAUUGCCAAGUGAAAUUAUUCUUGGGACAGACAGCUUUUGAGUGGGAGGCUUUUGAGUUACUAAACAGUGUUUUGGGACAAAUUGUGCAUAAAGGUGCAUUAUGGGCUGAGCAAUGGCUGAGCAGGGUCACUGGAGGGUGUAGGACAAGAGGAUGCAGAAAAGAUCCUGCAGGAUGUGCCUGGGGGGCAUCUAAGAUAUUUAUGGUGACUAUUUUCCUUACGCUGCCUAGAGGACAAUCACUGCUUGUUUCUUCCUGAAUCCUUGGUUUUGUUUUAACUUUUACGUAAUUUUAUAUUAUUGUAGGAAAAACUGGAAAACAAAGAAGGGUCAGGAACUCCCAGAGAGGGGAAUAGGCCACAGAACAUUCUCUACUACUAAUUAAGGGUUGGGCAAAAGGAAAAACAUUUUCCAAACACCUGACCUUUAAGAGCGACUUUUCCUAGCCCUGUGGGCCUUAGAAAGUUUAAUGGCCAUCGAGACUCAUUCCUUGGUGGAAACUAGCAUAAACCCAUUUGUUUUAGGUAAGAGCAACUUCACUGGCGCUGGAAAAUAGUUUUGGAUACACAGUGCACUUCAUUCCAAGAGAUCUUACUAGAGAUCCCCGACAGUCAGAAGAUUUCCCGCUUGAUCAGAUAUUUCUCGACGUGUGUUAUUGCUUUGCUUGUCACAGUUUUCUAGGAAACUGGUGUCAGGUAACACUCCUAGCUGCCUCCCAUGAGGAGUUACCUCUAGAGCGCAGAGUUUUAUCUGGCACUGAAAACUUGCUGGUUGGUUUUCUAGAUCCAUGUUUAUUUUCAGUUCAAAGACAAAGUAGAAAACUUGAGAGUGGAAAAUGUUACCUUUUAGUUCACACUCCUA
rnacentral:lncRNA from 10 species